UGCCCGAUAGUGUAACGGUAGCACGAAUGAUUCUGGUUCAUUUAGUUUAGGUUCAAAUCCUAAUCGGGCAA
rnacentral:tRNA from 1 species